UACGUAGGGUGCGAGCGUUUAAUCGGAAUUACUGGGCGUAAAGCGUGCGCAGGCGGUUUUGUAAGCCAGAUGUGAAAGCCCCGGGCUUAACCUGGGAAUGGCAUUUGGGACUGCAAGGCUGGAGUGUGGCAGAGGAGACUGGAAUUCCUGGUGUAGCAGUGAAAUGCGUAGAUAUCAGGAGGAAUACCGAUGGCGAAGGCAGGUCUCUGGGCUAACACUGACGCUCAUGCACGAAAGCGUGGGAGC
rnacentral:rRNA from 1 species